UCAUUUGGAUCUUUUGCAAGUAGACAUAGUCAGAUACGCAGAUACGAUGAUUAGUUUAAUUUAGCUCAUUAGAGUUGCCUCCAGGGAAAAUCCUUUAUUUUUUGUAAUUCAGAUACACUGGCAGAAUAUCACCAUGCUAACAUAAUGCAAAACUCUUUUCACAGAGUAACUCAAUUAUAGAACCCCAGAAUUGGGAAUUAAAAAAGGAUGUAAAAUAAGACCUCGCAAGACCACAAAGGAUUGAAGUUCACUCUGUUAGAUUAGAGACACCUGUUUCAAAUGGCCACCCCAGGAGACAGUGAGUGAUCUGCCAGGUGCCAUUGGCAUCAAGGAAAUGUGCCUUGUACAACCCUUCUCAUGCAGCUACCUGGGACUCUGCGGCUCCUGAGGGACUGCGUGCUUGGCAAGAACACAGGUUAUGCAGAGAUUGGGAAAGAAUCUAUUUCACCCCACGAAAUGACAGAUUGGUGGAUCAAUUCACAGCAGGGAAGAUUGUGAAUACGAUACUAACGGGA